AUAAUAAAUGCUUAUUAAUUUGAUUUUAGUCUCUUUAAUACUUGGAUCCAAGCAUGGGUGAGGCUAGCAAGUUUUCGGUCAUUACUUUUAGUCAUGAGACUAAAACAUAUCCAAGCACCCUCAUAGGUAGAUACCGUAACAUGUUAAAUGCUAUGCUACUAUGUGUCAUGCAUGUCAAUAAAUGAGAUCACCUAUGAUACUAGUUUAUGUUACUAUGCACUAUGAAGAUAGUAUCAUACAAUAGUAACAUAUGCAUGAUACUACUAUAUGUUACUCUCCACUAUGAGCAGCCUUGCGGAUUUGGUAUCAUAAACUAGUAUCAUGCGCAUGAUACUAGUAUAUGAUACUACCCAUUACAACCAGCCUAANNNNNNNNNNNNNNNNNNNNNNNNNNNNNNNNNNNNNNNNNNNNNNNNNNNNNAGCCUAAGUAAGGCUGAAAGUUAACUAUUUUUGACACGACUUGCCUUUGUGAAUAUAGACUCUUGAGAACUUCUCUAAUGGCGUUGUUUUCUCGAUGUAGUUUUGUGAAUUUAUUGAUUAAUUACUUUCUUUAUAAGAUAUUCAGAGUCUUGGGGUGAUUACCCUCUUUCCAAAACAAAAACAAAAAUAAAGAUAUUCAGAGAUAAUUCAUAGAAACUGAAUAAAGUAACCAAAAUCUUUGAUUUGACUAAACUAUUCUAGAGUCUUUCUACAGGGAUGUGCUGAAUGAGUACGCAUCAAAAACCAAGAAAAUAAGAGACCUUGUCUUGCGAUCGAUAGCCAAGCUCCUGGAGAUUGACGAGGAUUACUUCGUCAACCAGAUAUCAAACAAGGCUUCCGGGUUUGCUAGAUUGUACUACUACCCUCCGUGUCCGAGACCUGACCUAGUUUUGGGCCUCACGCCUCACUCUGAUGGCAACCUCCUUACCAUCCUUUUUGUCGACGACGAUGUUGGUGGCUUGCAAGUUCAGAGAGAUGGGAAAUGGUACAAUGUUCCAGCCAAGCCUCACACGCUGGUGAUCAACUUAGCAGACUGCCUGGAGGUAGGCACCUACACAUACAAGCUAGAUACACACUUCCUCUCUUGAAUGGUCUAUAAUGAUCAACGUUAGUAUAUCCUAUUUCCAGAAUCCUAAUGCUUCAUUAACUCGUUUGUGCAAUUUUAAUGUAGAUAAUGAACAAUGGAAUCUUUAGGAGCCCAGUUCACAGAGUGGUGACGAACACUGAGAAGGAGAGGCUUUCGCUGGCCGUGUUCUAUGCCGUGGAUGAAGAAACGGUGCUGGAGCCAGCGCCCGGUUUGCUGGAUGAGAAGCGACCACCAAGAUAUAGGAAAAUGAUGGCCAAGGAUUUCGUAGCCGGACUUUUUGAACAUUUCCUUCAAGGGAAGAGAUUCAUCGACACCCUGAAGAUAUAAGUUAUAGUACGUGUUAACAUUGAUUACCUAUGUAGAAUAAAGAGAUGGUCCUAUCGUCUCUGAGUGGGGGUUUUAUCUAUCAUUAUCAUAAGCAACUUAGGUUGUGUUUAUAUUCAGUUGUUUCCAAAGGAUGCAAAACUUCGCUCCAUCUCAGUGAUUAAGAAGAACGGUGUGCUAGUUAAUUAUAAAGUGGAAAGACGGACCAAAGUAAAUACCCCCUCCAUCCGAAAAUACUUGUAUAAGAAUGGAUGUAUGUAAAUGUAUUUUAGUUCUAUAGACAUAUAUUUGUAUUUAUUUGUAUGAUAUAUAAUUUCGGACGAAGGGAAUAUAAGACAAUUUUUAACACUGUCAUGGACUCUAAAAACGUACUACCUCCGUACCUAAGUAAUUGUUGUUAUAUAGUAUUAUCAAAGGUUAUAGAGGUAGUACAUGCAUCCACACUGACAACCAUGAGACAUGACAGCCGCUAGAGACAUCCGGCCGCACAUAACAAAUUACACAACGCACACGGCUAAGUAGAGAAACACUGCCGAGCUUGGACGUAAGCGUGCGUCACCUCUCUCAAAGCAAGCUACUCCAACUUCAUGGCAGAGACCAUAAGGCCUCGUUUGGUUAAGGGGAAUUGGGGAGGUUUUGAGAGGAAAAUCCCCGUGAGGGCCAGAAAUCCCACAAAUCCUCGGGCGCCCAUUUGGUAGGAGGGGUUUGCUUAGCCCAAUCUCCCCCGUUCCCCUUCAAUCCCUUCCUAUCCAUGUGUUUUAAAACCCUCUUCGGGGGACUAGUGGAAGUAAAGCACCGGGAAUUUGAGAGGAUUGAGUGAAACAAAGGGAUUCACCCAAUCCCCUGAAAUCCCUCCCUCUCAAAACCUCCCCAAUCCCCCUUAACCAAACGAGGCCUAAGUGAGACUCUCACUGCAAUAGUUGUGUGAUGUCACAUUAAGAUCUGCCAAGCUAUCAAGGCACACAUAUCGGCAACAAGGGAACUUCAAUUUUGACGUCGAGAAAAAAUAUAAGUUCAAUGUUAGGCACCUCUAGGCGUCAGUCGACCGGAUCCAACCACGUCGCCUCCCACGCGACACGAUACCUCAAGCAUGGGCUGUUGGACGCCCCACCACGGACGCGUGGGACAAGAAUAUAAAUUUCUGAAAUUUGACUUGUGAGUCACUUCCUUGAAUUUGAGCAAUGAGCCAAUUAUCCAAUUUCUGUGCAUUCUUUUCCCGUCAAUUAGCUCAGCGUGGCCACUGACCAUUGGUGCUACUGUUCAUCGUCAGAUCGUGUGAUACAAGAUAGCUAUUGGUGCUACUUCACUCACACUCUCACCGGUCUGACCGGAGGACGACACAAUUGAAAAACUUAUGGGUAUUAGGCAUUUGAUCCCCUAUAUCAAUUUAGUGGAGUAUAUUUGCCUUUUCUAUUUUACUAAGUUUGACUCAACCGAUCGCAAAACACCUUUAUAUUUACUCCUUCUUUCUGCGUCCGACUGAAAUCGUCUCCCCCCUGCGUCGCGGGUCAUCCUCCACGGACGCUUCAUCGCUGCUCGUCUGAUGCGCCCGUCGCCGUGUGUGCGCGCCUAUACGCCGGUUCGAGGACUUCCUCGUCCACCCUCUGUCCCGGCCACCGGCGAGGACCUAGAUCGGGGUUCGACAACGAGAUGAGGGGACAUGGGUGGCUGAAAUCAUGGAUCGAGAGACCCACACCCGGUGGUGGCUCGGGAGCUUCCAUACUGCCGAUCUCACAGACAUGGAGUACGACUGCUAGCAGGUCCGCUACCACGGUGUGGUGGCCCGACUCAACUUCCCCUUUGACACGGCUCCGGUCCACCUCGUCCCGUCGGAGCCGGGGUGGUGAGCUCGACUAUGGCGCGGGAGGGCCGUGAGGCGAGGGAGCGCCUCGAGGCCAAGCUCGCCGACGAGGCCUACAUGCAAGAGCUCUGCCGGCAGCACACGAAGCUCGUGGAGGCGGAGCGGAUGAUCUUUGCCAACACCGACAACGAGCUUAUCGUUAUCUCCUCCGAUGAUGAGGAGAUCGACGUCUAUGAGUGGAGGAGUGUCUUCCCCCACGACGAAGACGAUGACACCGGCCUGGACCAAAAUUGCGGCACACCGUACCUGAUGAGGAAGGACCGUCUCGAUCUCACAUUCGACCGAAGUAGUUUAGUUAAGCUUAGUUUAAUUUAAAUUUGUUUUUUAUGUUUAGUUAUGCAAAACUAUCUAAGUUUAUGUUUGAAUGCAUGCUACUUACGGUUAAAAUUGUUUUGAAUUUGAUUAAAUUAAAAUUUACUCCGUUAAGUUUAGGGAAACGCUUGUGGCCGGCGCUUCGGCCGAGCCGUUCGGUCGGUCGCGCACGACCCUCCGUGCAGCUUAUUACGCAUGCAGCUUUUUCCGUCUAAAUUUGCUGCAACUAGCGUUUAAAUUUGCUACAAGGUUUUUAUUUGCUACAUUUGUUCACUAAAAAAGCUGCAUACGUUUGGUUGCAACUCCAGUUCAACAGAUUUUUGCUACAACCGGUGUUUUUUUUUUUUGCUACAAUCAGGUUAAUUUUUGCUACAACCGGUAUCAUUUUUUGCUGCAACCAUUCAGUAAAAAAGUUGCAUACAUGUUCGUGAGAGUUGCAACCCGAGUACACCGGAUUAUUUUUGCUACAACCAAUAUUUUGUUUUGUUACCACGCAUCAUCAGCGUUGUUUUUUUAUGACCACGUUGAUAUUUUUCUGGUAUAACCAUAUUUUUGUUGCAACCAUGACGAAAAUUUGCUGCAUCAUCGCUGAAAUUUACUGCAUCGAGGAAUAUUGCUGCAUGGAUAGAUCUAACGAUACGGCCCGCAUACGGCUGACGGAUCCGGCAGCGCGCGCUGUCGGCACGCCGGCGCAGAGCACUGCACUUAAGUUUAAGUUUAGGGCUUUGGUUCAGUCGCAAUCUUGACUAGUGUAUGACACGAUUGUGACCGACAAAGAAGAGCCGCAUGGAGUGCGUCAUGCAUGAUGUCGCCAAGAAAAUGAUUGGGGCCACGUUUCUCUAUUUUCCUUCGAGGAGGAUAAAUACAAAAUUUUGAAAAGGAAAAUCGAGGCACACACUCGAGGCUACAUAUAUCGGCCCCUCCAUCUUCAACUUCAAGUGAGCGGUAGUACUACCCAAACACUUACCCAAACAAAGAAAUGGCUCCGUCCGAUGAGUCGCCGAUGGUGCGGCCGACGACGGUGCAGGAGCUGGCUGCGGCCGGCGUCGAGGAGCCGCCGCGACAGUACGUGGUGCAGGAGCAGGACGGUCACGGCGACCUGCUGGCCGCCGACGAGUUUCCGGAGCCCAUCCCCCUCAUCGAUCUUACCCGGCUCACGGACGCCGACGAGGCCGAAAGGCUCCGGGCGGCGCUGCAGACAUGGGGCUUCUUCCUGGUGAGCGAGCGUCUGCAUGCGUGCACCUUAAUUAGUUCAUAAAGUUGUUGAACUCUUGCUAAAACUGUUUAACACUCAUCCAGGCCACCAACCAUGGGAUCGAGGACUCUCUCAUGGAUGCCAUCACGAGCGUGUCGAGGGAGUUCUUCCGGCAGCCGGCGGAAGAGAAGCAGAAAUGCAGCAACCUGGUGGACGGCAACGGCGAGCACUACCAGGUGGAAGGGUAUGGAAGUGACAAGGUGGUGUCCGAGGAUCAGGUCCUCAACUGGAACGACCGGUUGCAUCUGAGAGUGGAGCCGGAAGACGAGAGGAAUUUCGCUAAGUGGCCCAGUCACCCGGAAUCUUUCAGGUGACGUUUUUCUCAUUUCUAAUACUGUACUAUUAGCUUAGUUGUAAGGAAGACGCAGUCAAAUUUUAGGAAAUUUCAGUGUAAAGAAUAGUACUCUGUGAUUUAGUCAAUGGUCCGUAGCAUUGCAUGAAUCUCUUGCUAGUGGACCCGUGUUAUGAUGUCAUUUCCUAUAAUGAAGUUAGGCAGAGUCUUUUUUUAAUAAACCACACAACUUUUCCUUGUGAAUUCAGACUUUUAUAAACUUCUCUUGAUGAUGUAGUUCUUUUGUUUAUCGUGGUGUAGUUUUGUUAAUUUUAUUGAUUAGUAGUUGCUUUCUUUAAAAGAUAUCCAAACUCAGGGGGAGUUACCCUAUUAAAAAAGGGGUAUUCACACACUACUCAUAGAAAGCUAGAAAAUGAAUAGAAGAACCAUUUUUUUUUGUUAUAAUUUUUGCAACCGAGAAGAACCAAAAGCUUUGAUUUGACGAAAUUGUUCUAGAGUCUUACUACAGGGAUGUGCUACAUGAGUAUGCAUCAAGAAUCAAGAAAAUAAGAGACCUCGUCUUGCGAUCGAUAGCCAAGCUCCUGGAGAUUGACGAGGACUAUUUCGUCAACCAGAUAUCAAACAAGGCUUCCGGGUUUGCUAGAUUCAACUACUACCCUCCAUGCCCGAGACCUGACCUAGUUUUGGGCCUCAGGCCUCACACCGACGGUGGUCUCCUUACCAUCCUUCUCAACGAUGACACCGUCGGUGGCUUGCAAGUUCAGAGAGAUGGGAGAUGGUACAAUGUUCCAGCCAAGCCGCACACAUUGCUGGUUAACCUAGCAGACUGC
rnacentral:lncRNA from 1 species